GCAUAUUGCAUAUUCAGGAAACAGAGACAAAUCUUUUUCACUUGAGUCAAGAGGGUUCAGGGCUUGUCAUCUGUUUCUGGGAUAUAGAGAAAUGGAAAAUAGAAGAGUUCUAACCUCAUUCUGUAUUGCAAGGGAAGGAGCUUGUCAUAUAGUCACUUGUGUUGGACCCUUGAAUGGCUCAACUCACUGUCCUCGUACAGUGAUCACUUCAAAGAAGCACGUGUUUCACUGAAUACAACCAGGGGCCCAUCUAUCUCAUGCCUCUAGCUUUUCAUCCUCCUCCCUUGAAAAUUAAGAUAGCAGCCCCAGCUCCAGGUGGAAAGGACAGCUUACUCAUCAAGGGAGUUACAGUGUCUGCAGCCUGUACUGAGUCAGAGUAUCUGAGAGAGGCUUUCCUCUUCUCUUUGUGUUGGUCCAGGAUCCCAGGAACCAAUCUGGAACAAAGGACAGGUUUCACUCUUCUUGCCCAGGCUGGAGUGCAGUGGAGGAUCAUGGGCUCAUGGCUCAUUGCAGCCUAACCUUCUCAAGUAGCUGGGACUACAGAUGGAAUUUGGAGAUAGACACCUAUAUGGGGAGAAUGCCCUGUGAACAUGAAAUCAGCCAUCUACAAGCCAAGGAGGGAAGCUUGGGACAGAGCUGCCAACACUUUGACUUUGAACUUCUAGCCUCUGGAACUGGGCUCCAGAAGCUUGGAUGUGCUCUAUCACCCUCUGAGAGCUGAUGGCAUGUGAAUCUCAUCCCAAAUCUGAGUGCAGAGUGCUUUUUGUUUGGCAUAGAGCAUUUCAUGAGACUGUUGUUCUGUGGUUCUGACUCAGAGAAACAUCGAGUUUAUUUCCCCUAAGGAAGCAGCCAUGCCGUGGGUCUCACAGCUGCAGAAAGUUCAGCUUCAUGGGACUGAGCUACUUUCAGGAAAUAAGGAUGCAGGUGAAAAUUUUUGAUUACAUUUAGUUCAAAUCCAUUACACCUCCUGGGGGCAGAGCAGAACAGCUCCAAGGAAAUAACCUACUGGAAAUGAUCAGGAGUCAUUUUUCUUGAUCCAUGAAUCCUUUGAUUCCUGUUAUUUCACAUCUGUGACUCAGAAGCAGCCAUUUGAAGAGAAAAAAACCAAGAAGUACUAGGUUGUCUCCCUUAGUGGAGUGGUUCAGGAAAUUUAGGAAAAAAAUAUGCAAGCGUGAUUUUAUCAAAUUGAACACACCACUACAGAUUUGCCUUUGGAGCACUCCAUUUAUUCCUACUCAGACCUUGACAAACUGAUCCAUCUGUCUUGAAAUGGAACAUUGGGAGAUAAAUGGACCAUCAUCAUUGUCAGUGGUUAAAAAAGUAAGACUAAAGAUUUAACUUGUAUAUUUCAGUUUCAAACAUGCACACAUAGAGUGAAGGAAAUGUGAACCGGAUGAACACAAGCUUCCUAAACAUUUGCAAAAUCGCGAUACUUCAACUUCUUAUUUAUCUGAUGUGUAUUAUAUUAUUUAAAGCUAAACUUUAAAAAAUUUUAGACUUGCUAUUUGAUCUACGGGUGUGACAAGUAUUUGUGUCUAAAUCUGGUGAAAACUUGGGAUCAUGCAGACAAAACAUUCAUCAAUCCUUGUUUCAUAUUUUUAGGUCACUAUCAAUAAACUCUACCCACCUCUCAUGCUCAUUUCAGUUCUCA
rnacentral:lncRNA from 1 species